CGAAAUUUGGCAAACUCCCUAAACCAUUGUGAACGUUACCUAAACCGUUGCUUCGGCGGGCGGCCCCGGGGUCAUCCCCGGGCGCCCCUGGGCCCCAUCGCGGGCGCCCGCCGGAGGUCACCAAACUCUUGAUAAUUUAUGGCCUCUCUGAGUCUUCUGUACUGAAUAAGUCAAAACUUUCAACAACGGAUCUCUUGGUUCUGGCAUCGAUGAAGAACGCAGCGAAAUGCGAUAAGUAAUGUGAAUUGCAGAAUUCAGUGAAUCAUCGAAUCUUUGAACGCACAUUGCGCCCGCCAGUAUUCUGGCGGGCAUGCCUGUUCGAGCGUCAUUUCAACCAUCAAGCCCCCGGCUUGUGUUGGGGACCUGCGGCUGCCGCAGGCCCUGAAAAGCAGUGGCGGGCUCGCUGUCACACCGAGCGUAGUAGCAUACAUCUCGCUCUGGGCGUGCUGCGGGUUCCGGCCGUUAAACCACCUUCAUAACCCGAGGUUGACCUCGGAUCAGGUAGGAAGACCCGCUGAACUUAAGCAUAUCAAUAAGAGGAGGAA
rnacentral:rRNA from 1 species